GAUUAUAAACGUUUAUUCGGUGCAAUUGGUAAGAACUUGACUGGUGGAUUUGGUUC
rnacentral:sRNA from 1 species